AUUAGCCUAAAAUGGUUAAGGAACAGUUGUUGUUUGACAGCCCAUUUCUUCAGCAUGAGUGAUUGCAGCCUUCUUCCAGGUAUUAAACCUUUGAAGCUCAUUCCUCUGUGCUCAUGUUUUCAGAUCAACGCUGAGUUUAAGAGAAUUGCCACCAUCCCCCCUCAAACAAAGUUCCUGGCUCAGCUGGAUCUCCACUUGGACAACCUGGGGAAGUUGGUCAACAGAAGAGGAGAGCUUGGACUAAUACUGGAAAGAAUUGUGGCACAAAUGGAUAAUUGUGAAGAUGUUGAUGCUGGACGUGAGUGUGUCAAGGGAGUGUGUAUCUACAUGGGUGAAGACCCUGGCAUGCUUAUCCGGGAGUAUGUGGGCAUGGAAGAACGUGCCAUCAAUGAGACUGCUGAAGACACCACUGUUCGAAUUUAUCUUCUUAAAGAGCAAGCUUCAGCAGAAGAACAAGAGUUGUCCUUGCAGGCAUCAGGGUGGCGAAGAAUUUGGAUAAUGUAGCAUUUGCUGUGAUAAUGCUAUUUGGACUCAUGUAUGCAUUAAACCUUGCCUACCC
ensembl:lncRNA